rnacentral:rRNA from 1 species
GACAGAGGGGGCAAGCGUUGCUCGGAAUUACUGGGCGUAAAGGGCGCGUAGGCGGGAUGGCAAGUCAGACGUGAAAUCCCUCGGCUUAACCGGGGAACUGCGUCUGAUACUGGAUGGCUUGAGUUUGGGAGAGGGAUGCGGAAUUCCAGGUGUAGCGGUGAAAUGCGUAGAUAUCUGGAGGAACACCGGUGGCGAAGGCGGCAUCCUGGACCAACACUGACGCUGAGUGAGCGAAAGCCAGGGGAGCAAACGGG